rnacentral:piRNA from 1 species
UNGAAACAGGUAGCCUGAAUGCCAUUUAAAU